ensembl:lncRNA
AGGGACUGGGAUGGACUGGGAGGGACUGGGUUAUACUGGGAGGGACUGGGAUGGGACUGCGAUGGACUGGGAUGGGAGUGGGUUAUACUGGGUUAUACUGGGAUGGGACUGGGAUGGACUGGGAUGAGACUGGGAGGGACUGGGAGAGACUGGGAUGGAAGUGGGUUAUACUGGGAUGGGACUGGGCUAUACUGGGAUGGACUGGGAGGAACUGGGAUGGGACUGAGAUGGGACUGGGUUAUACUGGGAAGGACUGGGAGGGACUGGGUUGUACUGGGAUUGACUGGGAUGGGACUGGGAGGAACUGGGAGGGGCUGGGAGGAGCUGGGAUGGGAGUUGGAAGACUGGGUUAUACUGGGAUGGGACUGGGAUGGGAGUGGGUUAUACUGGGAGGGACUGGGUUAUACUGGGGCAGACUGGGAGGGACUGGGAGGGAAUGGGAGGGACUGGGUUAUACUGGGAGGGACUGGGAUGGACUGGGAUGGGAGUGGGUUAUACUGGGUUAUACUGGGAUGGGACUGGGAUGGACUGGGAGGGAUUGGGUAUACUGGGAUGGACUGGGAUGGACUGGGAGGGAUUGGGUUAUACUGGGAGGGACUGGGAUGGACUGGAUGGGACUGGGAGGGACUGGGAUGGAAAUGGGUUAUACUGGGAUGGGACUGGGAGGGACUGGGUUAUACUGGGAGGGACUGGGAUGGGAGUGGGAGGAACUGGGUUAUACUGGGAGGGACUGGGAUACUGGUCCAUACUGGUCGAUACUGGUCGAUACUGGUCUAUACUGGUCGAAACAGCGGUCAAUACUGGUCCAUGCUGGUCUAUACUGGUUGAUACUGGUCUAUACUGGUCCAUACUGGUCAAUACUGGUCUAUACUGGUUGAUACUGGUCCAUCCUGGUCUAUACUGGUCUAUACUGGUCCAUACUGGUCGAUACUGGUCCAUACUGGUCCAUACUGGUUGAUACUGGUCUAUACUGGUCUAUACUGGUCUAUACUGGUCGAUACUGGUCCAUACUGGUCGAUACUGGUCUAUACUGGUCGAUACUGGUCCAUACUGGUCCAUCCUGGUCCCAUCCUGGUCUUUAUUACUGCAGGUUCUGCCCAGCCCGCGCCGCCGUCCAAUCAGCGCCCUCUGCUGGGAUCCCGACGGGACGCGAUUGGUCGCCGCCCAAGUGGGCGGGGCUUUGCUGGUGUGGGCGUGGCCGGAAGAAGAGCCGCUGUGGGCGGGGUCCGCGGAAGCCCCGCCCCUUCCGGCAAUGGCUCCGCCCCUCGUCUUGGGUUACCCGGGAGGUCACGUGACCUCGGUGUCCUUUGCCCCGCCCACUGCAGUGGGGGAGGGGCCGACAGUCGUCACUUCCGGUCCCGGGGGAAAGGUGAGGGGCGGGGCUUCAUGAGACGGGGGCUGCGAUUGGUGGGAGGGGAAAAGGGGCGGGGCUUAAAGGGGGUUGCGAUUGGUGGGAUGCUGAGGGGGCGGGGCUUCAAAGGGAGGAGGGUUUUAUUGGUGGGAGGUGAAGGGGGUGGGGCUUAAAUGGGGGCGGGGCUUAAAUGGGGGGCGUGGCUUAUUGGGAGCGG